rnacentral:tRNA from 1 species
GGGAUUGUGGCUCAGUGGUAGAGCACUCACCUAGCAUGUGUGAGGCAUUGGGUUCCAUCCUCAGCAGCACA